rnacentral:pre_miRNA from 1 species
UUUUAUGGAUGAGUGAAGAAAGUGGUUUCUUCCGAUGGAAUCUACUCCUGGUGAAGAUGCCAUUAAAA